rnacentral:snRNA from 1 species
GUGCUCACUGCAGCAGCACAUAUACUAAAAUUGGAAUGAUACAGAGAAUACUAGCAUUGAUACUGUGCAAGGAUGACAUGCAAAUUUGUGAAGUGUUCCAUAUUUUU